UACAGAGGUCUCAAGCGUUGUUCGGAUUCAUUGGGCGUAAAGGGUGCGUAGGCGGCGCGGUAAGUCGGGUGUGAAAUCUCGGAGCUUAACUCCGAAACUGCAUUCGAUACUGCCGUGCUUGAGGACUGGAGAGGAGACUGGGAUUUACGGUGUAGCGGUGAAAUGCGUAGAGAUCCGGAAGAACACCGGUGGCGAAGGCGGCCUGCUGGGCAGUGGCUGACACUGAGGCGCGACAGCGUGGGGAGCAAACAGG
rnacentral:rRNA from 1 species